rnacentral:rRNA from 1 species
GCGGCACGCUUCAUACAUGCAAGUCGAGGGGCAGCAUAAAGUACUUGUACUUUGAUGGCGACCGGCGAACGGGUGCGUAACGCGUAUGCAACUUACCUUUUACUAGAGAAUAGCCAAGAGAAAUUUUGAUUAAUGCUCUAUACUCUUAUUAACUCACAUGAGUUUUUAAGAAAAGCUCCGGCGGUAAAAGAUGGGCAUGCGUCCUAUUAGCUUGUAGGUGAGGUAACGGCUCACCUAAGCUCCGAUAGGUAGGGGUCCUGAGAGGGAGAUCCCCCACACUGGUACUGAGACACGGACCAGACUUCUACGGAAGGCAGCAGUAAGGAAUAUUGGACAAUGGAGGCAACUCUGAUCCAGCGAUGCCGCGUGAAGGAAGACGGCCCUAUGGGUUGUAAACUUCUUUUAUACAGGAAGAAACCUUUCCACGUGUGGAAAGCUGACGGUACUGUAAGAAUAAGGAUCGGCUAACUCCGUGCCAGCAGCCGCGGUAAUACGGAGGAUCCAAGCGUUAUCCGGAAUUAUUGGGUUUAAAGGGUCCGCAGGCUGUUUGUUAAGUCAGGGGUGAAAUCCUACCGCUCAACGGUAGAACUGCCUUUGAUACUGGCAAACUUGAGUUAUUGUGAAGUAGUUAGAAUGUGUAGUGUAGCGGUGAAAUGCAUAGAUAUUACACAGAAUACCGAUUGCGAAAGCAGAUUACUAACAAUAUACUGACGCUGAGGGACGAAAGCGUGGGUAGCGAACAGGAUUAGAUACCCUGGUAGUCCACGCCGUAAACGAUGGUCACUAGCUGUUUGAUGUACAUUGGUACAUUGAGUGGCUAAGCGAAAGUGAUAAGUGACCCACCUGGGGAGUACGCUC